rnacentral:rRNA from 1 species
GACGAACGCUGGCGGCGUGCUUAACACAUGCAAGUCGAACGGAAAGGCCCUGCUUUUGUGGGGUGCUCGAGUGGCGAACGGGUGAGUAACACGUGAGUAACCUGCCCUUGACUUUGGGAUAACUUCAGGAAACUGGGGCUAAUACCGGAUAGGAGCUCCUGCUGCAUGUUGGGGGUGGGAAAGUUUCGGCGGUUGGGGAUGGACUCGCGGCUUAUCAGCUUGUUGGUGGGGUAGUGGCUUACCAAGGCUUUGACGGGUAGCCGGCCUGAGAGGGUGACCGGCCACAUUGGGACUGAGAUACGGCCCAGACUCCUACGGGAGGCAGCAGUGGGGAAUAUUGCACAAUGGGCGGAAGCCUGAUGCAGCAACGCCGCGUGCGGGAUGACGGCCUUCGGGUUGUAAACCGCUUUCGCCUGUGACGAAGCGUGAGUGACGGUAAUGGGUAAAGAAGCACCGGCUAACUACGUG